CCUGGGGAGUACGGUCGCAAGAUUAAAAUUCAAAUGAAUUGACGGGGGCCCGCACAAGCGGUGGAGCAUGUGGUGUAAUUCGAUGCAACGCGAAGAACCUUACCUACUCUUGACAUCCAGAGAACUUUCCAGAGAUGGAUUGGUGCCUUCGGGAACUAUGAGACAGGUGCUGCAUGGCUGUCGUCAGCUCGUGUUGUGAAAUGUUGGGUUAAGUCCCGCAACGAGCGCAACCCUUAUCCUUGUUUGCCAGCGAGUAAUGUCGGGAACUCCAGGGAGACUGCCGGUGAUAAACCGGAGGAAGGUGGGGACGACGUCAAGUCAUCAUGGCCCUUACGAGUAGGGCUACACACGUGCUACAAUGGCGCAUACAGAGGGCGGCCAACUUGCGAAAGUGAGCGAAUCCCAAAAAGUGCGUCGUAGUCCGGAUUGGAGUCUGCAACUCGACUCCAUGAAGUCGGAAUCGCUAGUAAUCGUGGAUCAGAAUGCCCCGGUGAAUACGUUCCCGGGCCUUGUACACCCCGCCCGUCACACCAUGGGAGUGGGCUGCAAAAGAA
rnacentral:rRNA from 1 species